rnacentral:rRNA from 1 species
GCAGUCGACGAACUCUGGUAUUGAUUGGUGCUUGCAUCAUGAUUUACAUUUGAGUGAGUGGCGAACUGGUGAGUAACACGUGGGAAACCUGCCCAGAAGCGGGGGAUAACACCUGGAAACAGAUGCUAAUACCGCAUAACAACUUGGACCGCAUGGUCCGAGUUUGAAAGAUGGCUUCGGCUAUCACUUCUGGAUGGUCCCGCGGCGUAUUAGCUAGAUGGUGGGGUAACGGCUCACCAUGGCAAUGAUACGUAGCCGACCUGAGAGGGUAAUCGGCCACAUUGGGACUGAGACACGGCCCAAACUCCUACGGGAGGCAGCAGUAGGGAAUCUUCCACAAUGGACGAAAGUCUGAUGGAGCAACGCCGCGUGAGUGAAGAAGGGUUUCGGCUCGUAAAACUCUGUUGUUAAAGAAGAACAUAUCUGAGAGUAACUGUUCAGGUAUUGACGGUAUUUAACCAGAAAGCCACGGCUAACUACGUGCCAGCAGCCGCGGUAAUACGUAGGUGGCAAGCGUUGUCCGGAUUUAUUGGGCGUAAAGCGAGCGCAGGCGGUUUUUUAAGUCUGAUGUGAAAGCCUUCGGCUCAACCGAAGAAGUGCAUCGGAAACUGGGAAACUUGAGUGCAGAAGAGGACAGUGGAACUCCAUGUGUAGCGGUGAAAUGCGUAGAUAUAUGGAAGAACACCAGUGGCGAAGGCGGCUGUC